AUUGAUUCAUACUUUUUUUUUUUUUUUUUUUUUGACGGGUUAUUGAUUCAUACUUGGUUUAUUAAAAGAGGUUAUAAAAACGAAUUAAAACGUAGUAAUUAAUUUAUAGGCCAGUUUUCGAAAGUCCAAAUAAUCUUAGGUUUUUUUUUCUCCUCUAUACAUAGUAUAUUAGUACAUACUAUUAAAUCCUACACUUUUGUUAUUAUCAUUUCCAGAUCUCUUCGCCUCGUUUCUCUCUCUUCAACAAAUUCACUUUAGGGUUUGUGGGGUUUCUGUGAGAGCAACCUUAGAAGAUCUCUAAUGGCGGACGAUGAUUAAAAUGAUUUGGAUACGGGGUAAGCAACCUCCUUUCUCUCUUCGACAAAACCACUUUAUGGUUUUUACGAUUUCUGUGAGAGCAAUCUUCGAAGAUCUCUAAUGGCGGACGAUGAUUACAAUAAUUUGGAUAUGAGGACUACAGUUAUAUUGUAAAAUUCGUUAUAAAGUUGUGGUGAUUUGGAUAUGGGUAAGCUUUUUCUCUUUUGAUUAAUCUGUAUAAAAAGUUAGGGUUUCUGCGUCAUUUUUUUGGCCGCUUUUCUUGAUUUUUCAAUUUCUAUUAUGUUUGCAGUUUAGGGCUUGUUUGUUUCAUGUGAUUUCAUCGUUGAUGGUUUCUGUUAACAAUAUACUUACCUUGUUAUACGUUUUACUAUUCUUUUGAAAUUGCAUGUUUUAGGGUGGAAUUUGAAGGAGUAUAUGAUAAUUCAUCGUGGUUUGUGUGUCUUAAAAUUUAUAAUCUGUGUUUUUUUAAAUCCUCUACAGUUAUAUUGUAAAAUUCGUUAUAAAAGUUUUGGUGAUUUGGAUGUGGGUAAGCUUUUUCUCUUUUGAUUAAUCUGUAUAAAAUUUCGCAAGUUAGGGUUUCUGCCUCAUUUUUCUGCGCCGCUUUUCUUGAUUUAUUUCCAUCUCUAUUAUGUUUGCAGUUUAGGGUUUGUUUGUUUCAUGUGAUUUUAUCGUUGAAGAUUGUUUCUGUUAACAAUAUACUUACCUUGUUGUAUUUUUUACAAUUCUUUUGAAUUUGCAUAUGUUUUAGGGUGGAAUUUGAAGGAGCUAAAUUAUAGAUGAUAAUUCGUCUGUGGUUUGUGUGUCUUAAAAUUUAUAAUCUGUGUUUUUUUAAUCCUCUACAGUUGUAUUGUUAAAUUUGUUAUAAUUUAAGUUUUGGUGAUUAUUUGAUGGUUUGCUGAACUCUUAAGUGUUGUAAUGAGGCAACUUUUUUUUUAUUGCAUAUGAAUUAAUUAAAUAAACUUGUUAGUCAUUGUUGGAGAGCUUACUACUUGCUGCAAUGUGUGUCCAUUUGUUCUUUUUUUGUUUAAAAGUAUCUAUCCUUUCGAUGAACAACCGUCGAAAAGUUUAUUGACUUGUUUUUAAAAUGUUUUUAUUGCGAUGAUGACAAACAUCUAACCGAGCUCUUUGAGGUCUUUUGUAGACCCGGGAAAAUACAUAUGUUCAUUUUGUCUGAGCUUUCAAUUUUACUAUCUAUUUGCACAAACUACACACCUUGAAAGUGGAAAAGGAAAAUAAGGACAGACUCAUUUGAAAGUUGUAUGUUUCCAUGGUUUCUCUAAUAAAAUAACCAUCUCUUUUUGGACUCUUGAUGGCAAAAAGGGCCAUUACCUGUCUUUUCUGUUUGUUCUUAUUUAUGAAAAUAUUUUUUGAUAAAACCAAGCAAGAUUUUUGUCUGUUGUUUUUAUUGGAUGGGACAGGUAGACAGUUAAUUAUAAAUAUGAUGCACAUAUUUCAAUAUUAACCCCAUGAUUUUCAUGCGCACAAUAUCUUGCAAAACAUGGUACCACCUAUUAAUUAUUCUUCUUCGUCUUCCUCCUCCUGCAUAUAAAUGUUGCAAUAGUUUUAUUUUUUUGAUACUAAUUUUUAAAAAUUUCCCAGAAUUUGUAUCAGUGUCACAUCUAGACGAUGAACACUGAGUAUGGUAAGCAAAAUUGUAACUUUUUUCAAUAAAUUGUUGGGUAAGCGAGUGAUUUUUUUAUGCUGUGUAUAGCACACCCCUAUUAUUAUUAUUAUUAUUAUUGAUGCAUUUAUGUUGGGAAUUAUAGUGACAGAAUUUUCAGGAGUUGUUCUACUGCUUCAACGAUUACCCAGUUCAUUUUUAAGGAAAAUUACUGAGGUUGUUAAAGUCAAGCAUUUUGGUUUGAAUUCCUUAAAUUAAUAAACUGUACUUUGUUUUCUUUUUAGAUUGCAUUAUUGGGUUUUAAAGUUUUGUUGCUUCUAUCAUCGCUGAAUUGUUUUUUAUAAAGUGAGGAAAUUGGUUCAGACUUCAGUACUACAGAAAUUUCCUUUAUCUUCAGUACUUCAGUUAUUCUUUGAUCUCUGACAACUUUACCAUAUUGAUACUACUAUGUGAUAUAUUAAUUAUCAAUGUACUUCUAUUGGUUCAAGUUUUUAAGAAAUAUGCUAAGAUUCUAUCAUUCUAUGAUUAACCUGGAGUGUUUGAUUUGUGAGGACAGUUAUUGGUCCGAGAUGCGUAUUUGGUAACAACUCUCAUAUCUAGGUAUCUCUAUUAUAUAUGGGAACUUUUGAGGACUUUGGUGUCCAUCCUUUUUUACAAUUAUACCUCUAACUGUAAAAGAAAACUGCAACACAUACUACUCUCUAUUAGUUGAAAAAUUAAAAAUGGAAAACCCAUCUAACAAAUUGCAAAGCAAUCGCCACUUGGCCUUGGACUUUGCACCCAUAGCGUGCAUAUAUAGGCUAGUAUUCACUAAUGGCAAUUUGACUCCUUGGGGGAGUAAUUCCUUUUUUGUCUUCUACAAAUUGCAUUGAUUACUUUAUCAGGAUUCGUGUAUGCUAGUGCCAUGUGAUUGCCUUCAUGUAUUUUGUAAGAAUGUUAAUCACUUUUAUAGAAAGCAAUGAUUACUUUAUCAGGAUUCGUGUAUGCUAGUGCCAUGUGAUUGCCUUCAUGUAUUUUAUAAGAAUGUUAAUCACUUUUAUAGAAAUUAUGUGUUUUGUUUUUGUUCAAGUGGAAGUAUUUUUUUUGUAACUGUAUUGACAAGUGAAGAGUAUGUUAUUGUUAUAUGUAUAUUGUUGUAGUUGUAAGCUUGUAAUUGUAAUUCAAACUUCCUGAUGUAGACAGCGGAGAAUAUGCUAUUCAUAUAGGGAGAAAGUGGAGAUGGAGUGUAUUUUGUUUGGGAAGGGGAGUUGACAUGCUUGGUGCUGCCUUCUGACCGCUGUUAUUUGCUGUUGCCAAAAUCAAUUUGGAACGCUGAUGAAAGACAAGAGGCCUAUUACACUUGAGAUCGCUAUGAAGCAACUUCGUCAGCCCAAUAUCGUUAUUUGCCUGAUAUGGUAGUUAUUCUGGUUGGAUGCAAUAUCUUCACAUAUAUGUAUGGAAGCACUGUAUAGUGCAGCUAUGAAGAUUGAGGGGUUGAUGAAUUGAUUGAUGAAGAUUCCUGGGAGUACCAUGCAUUGGAUUGUGGCUGAUUGUAUUAGUGUGUAUUUUUUGUUUACCAAUAAGUCCUGAUGACCUGUUUUGUGUCAACGCAAAAAUUAGUAUAUGGCAACCCAAGAUUGCUAAAAUUACUAAGUGAA